CAGUCCCUUUAAAGGUGCGGUGUUUAGGAUUUGGCGGCCUCUAGUGGUAAGGUUGCAGAUUGCAACCAAAUUAAACUUCUUCCAUGUGCCAAAUGUGUAGGAGAACUAUGGUGCCCCACUCCAUGUGUAG